CAAUGUGUUUUAAUCCUGUUUCACCUGAUUUUUUUUUGUAAUAAAAUCCACUCAUUAUGCCUGAGAACAGCAUUUAUUCUAUGUAGAGCAUUACAGUAGUACCAUGUAUGUCAGUAUAGUGAAAAGUGAAAUUAUGUUGUUAACAAUAUUAUUACAACUAGGUACUCCCAGUGAGCAUAGAAGGUUGCACAUUGUGCUGGUUUGCCGUUGUAUGUUAUCCAUUGAUCAGAGGUAAUAACGAUCAGCGCCUUUGAUCAUUGAUUUGGUUUGGAACUGGCGCUUUUAUAAAAAAAUAAAAAAUAUUAAUAUUAGUAUCAUGUCCAAGUCCAUUAUUGCUAUCGUUACCGUUGUUGCUGUCAUUAGUGUUAUUAUUAUUGCUAUCGUUAUUACAAUCACCUUUAAUUAAGAAUAUCGUUAUUAUUAUUGUUGAAUUGAUUUAAUAAAAAACACCAUGAUUUUUAAUCAUCAUUAAACAUUAUUAAAUAUUGUUUGUAACUAAUAAUUGAGCUGUAAUCAGUAUGUAACCGAAAAUAUGAUGCUCCUUUUACAUGCAUAUAAUUUUAUUGCGAUCAAUAUUUUAUGUGAAAUAGGUAUUGUGUGAACAGGAUAAAUGGCGUGAAAUUAAUUAUUAAAGUUAAACAUUCUUUGUAUGGAAUCAAUCGUCAUACACCGAUAAUAGAUAUGAUUUUCACGACCUUUUUUUUAUUCAAUACUCGUCAUGUGGUCAAUCACGAUAUUCAUUUCGAAUGAUAUUCGAUAACUCAUGAGGUGUAUAUUGAUGUUUGAGGUCACGGACCCCGUUUACGAUGGACGUGCGAUGUAACUGGCGGUCAAAAGUACAAAACAUCUUACCAACCAGCAAUACAAUUGGCAACACUCAAUAUGUUUUUCGAUGAACUUAGCACCUUACAAAAACUGACAAAAGUCAACUAUUCAUUUCACAACACAGGGAGCACCGAACUAUUUUAACCUACCAUCUUGAAUAAAUCAAUGUCGUAAAUUUAUGUACAGUCAUUGUGCCAGUGUGCUAAAAAGUAAUGAAACUAUUUUUGUAUGCAUGAUUAAAUAUUUUUUUGAGUUUGUUAAGCUAAUAAAUAUUUCGAAAAUUAUAAAAGAAAAGGAAUAUA